UACGAAGGGGGCUAGCGUUGCUCGGAAUUACUGGGCGUAAAGGGCGCGUAGGCGGACAUUUAAGUUAGAGGUGAAAGCCCAGGGCUCAACCCUGGAAUAGCCUUUAAUACUGGAUGUCUUGAGUUCGGGAGAGGUGAGUGGAAUGCCGAGUGUAGAGGUGAAAUUCGUAGAUAUUCGGCGGAACACCCGUAGCGAAGGCGGCACUCUGGGCCGGUACUGACGCUGAGGAGCGAAAGCGUGGGGAGCAAACAGG
rnacentral:rRNA from 1 species